rnacentral:rRNA from 1 species
GACGAACGCUGGCGGCGUGCCUAAUACAUGCAAGUCGAGCGGAUCUCUUCGGAGAUCAGCGGCGGACGGGUGAGUAACACGUGGGCAACCUGCCUGUAAGACUGGGAUAACUCCGGGAAACCGGGGCUAAUACCGGAUAACCCUUCGGACCUCAUGGUCCGGAGCUGAAAGACGGUUAUGCUGUCACUUACAGAUGGGCCCGCGGCGCAUUAGCUAGUUGGUGAGGUAACGGCUCACCAAGGCAACGAUGCGUAGCCGACCUGAGAGGGUGAUCGGCCACACUGGGACUGAGACACGGCCCAGACUCCUACGGGAGGCAGCAGUAGGGAAUCUUCCGCAAUGGACGAAAGUCUGAUGGAGCAACGCCGCGUGAGUGAAGAAGGUUUUCGGAUCGUAAAACUCUGUUGUUAGGGAAGAACAAGUACGAGAGUAACUGCUCGUACCUUGACGGUACCUAACCAGAAAGCCACGGCUAACUACGUGCCAGCCGCCGCCGUAACAC